rnacentral:lncRNA from 1 species
GGGGGUGUGUAUAUAUGAAGGUUGGUCUCUUAAAAUACAUCAUUAAAUAUGUAAUCCAUAAAUAAGUUCUUAAACCUGUCUUUAGGAUAUAGUUUUUGACUGAUACAAGAAAUGAAAUACAUUUUUUUUUUUCUCUAAAUCUAAUCUGUUGUUUUCCUUUAUCAGGCAGACUCAUAGCUUGUCCUGACACUAUUUUUUUUGUUUUUGUUUUUUUUUGUGGUACGCGGGCCUCUCACUGGUGUAGCCUCUCCCAUUGCGGAGCACAGGCUCCGGACGCGUAGGCUCAGCAGCCGUGGCUCACGGGCCCAGCCGCUCCGCGGCAUGUGGGAUCCUCCCAGACCGGGGCGCGAACCCGUGUCCCCUGCACCGGCAGGCGGACUCUUAACCACUGCGCCACCAGGGAAGCCCUAUAGCUUGUCCUAAUUACUGUUUCUCUCAUCAACUAAAACUGUUCUUUCCCAGUAAGUGACCAGCCUCAAACAUUUUUAUCACUUUAAACAAAUACUGUUCUCAGUAUUCUUUUUGCCUUAUUCAUUUAUCAUACGUACAUUUGAUUUGCUUUAAACUUGAUCAUCCAGAACAUUGUUAUAGAGAGUUUUCCUAUAUCAGAGCCCUUGUUGUGUUUUUUCUCAUGACAUUAGGCAACAAUAUAGUGUUAUCAGUCAUCAUUGGCCACAACUUUACUUCUUUAAUUUGAAUCUAGCAUUUUCAAGGCCAUUGUUUCCUAACUGAGAUUGUAGAUCAGACUUCUCUGUGAAGUUUUAUAAAUAUACAGAAGUUUAAGCGCUACUCUGGAUACUCUGAAUCUCUUUACUUGAUAUUCUUGGUAUAAAAAAUUGUCUCAGGGUUAUUAUAUUAAAUCUUAAAAUAUUUUCUGCUAUAGAAAUUAUAUCCAUUCAUUUUUAUAAAUCAGAUCCGAUAUUCACAGGCUUAUUUAAAAAUAGGUUUAAUCAUUAUCCUUGAAGACAUUUUUUCUAAAAUUUGCUUGGAAUGGCUUUCUUAUCUUUGUUUUGCAUGCCGUGGAAACAACCAAAUUUCCUUUUCAGUUUGCGUUAUUCCUAUCAUAAACUCUCUUCAGACCUUUCACAUUUGAAAAUUAUAAAUAAAAUUUGCCUCCAAAAAAGUGUUUGCUUGUAUUAGUUCCUAGUGGCUAUCAGUGAAUAUUUUGCAUAUCUGAGUUAGGUAACAUUUUAAACUAUUAAUAAAAAACAUGAGUAACAAAAUGCUAGAUUUAAAACGUAGACUUAGAUCUCUUACAGCGUUGAAGCUAGUAAUCAGUAGUUUUCCUAAUUAAAAGCAUUGGAUAAAUUCCCUAAGCACUUCUGAGGACUUUUGUAGGUAUAGCCUCUGUAUGGAAAUACUCUUUAAAUUUUCAUAUGGAAAAUCUUAGUAUUACAAAAAAUAAAGCAUUAACAUUUAAGAUAUUUAGGCCUGUACUGGAAAUGAUUCAAAUUUUCUACAUUAAAAAUGUAAGGUCAUCUUAGAUUAUAGGAGUUAUGCUUUUCUUCAGUAUAAGAAGCUUGUGUAAAAGUGGCUGUCUUAUCAGGUACUUUUCUGAUACAUUGUAGUAAUUUAUCAGAUACAUCUUCUUAGAUUAUCUCACUGACAUUUGUCACAUGUGGGUGAUUUCUAAACACAUUGUAGGAUUUGGACCUAUGAAGCUAAUGGCUUUAGUGAAAAAUAAAAGGACAGAGAUAAAAUUGUAUUUACUUUUGUCUUCAUGCCUUUAAUCUUAUAACUGAAAAUUCAGAGAAAAAGAACAAGUAGAAAUUCACUAAUUCAACAUUUGUUUUCUGUGGUUUAGUUUUAACAUGUUUCCUUGGAAACUUAUUUUGCAAAUAUUACCAUAAUAAUAAUAACACCACAAUAUUGUCUCUGAAUUGAAAAAGUUACCCAUUCAUUUUCAAAGUUGACUGCCAGUGGACUUUUGGAUGUUUGUGUGUGUGUGUGUUUUCACUUAUAAUAUGAUGGCUGUCUCAUUAUUUAAAAUUUAUAACUAUUUUUGAGUGUACAAACUGAUUAGCUAUUUAUAAUACUAUUAUAAUAUAGCACUGUAAUUUGAGAAUAAGAAAACAAGUUAGGAUUUAGGUGGGAUUGAAAAAUAAAAUUAUAUUUUAUUGAUUAAAAUAUAGACUUUUAAAAAAGAAGUCUUAUUCCAAUUGGACCUUUUAAAAUUUUAUUUUUCUAAUAAUAUAUUUCAUCUUAAUGUGUAUAAAACUAGAGUUUCUCUGGUAGCCAGUGUACUAAAUAAAUAGUUACUGUUAAAAUGAUAUUUUUGUUGUUCCUUAUCUUGGAAACAUUUCCCCACAAUAUCUAAGCAAUGUGUUUUAAGAUUUAUUGGGCUCAACCUACAAAUUCAACAAAUACUCCUUUUGCAUUUUGGAGGAAAAAACUUAACUGUGAUAUACAUAUUUUGCUCGUCAGAAUGCUAAAAUUAUAUUAAUCAAUAAACACUUUAGAAAGUAGUUCUGGUAAGGAGACAUCUGUUGUUGGACUUAAGUGAAAAAAUUUCAACCUCUUAGUUUCUUAUAUAGGGAUUAAAGAGAAUAACUUUAUUCCUUUGGGAUUUUAACUGGUUUUCUUGGAUAUUUUUCAAAGUAUUUAAUUAUAAUAGUUUCUACAUUUCUUCCAAAAUUAUGGCAUAUUACAGUACAUCUUACUGUUAAAGAUCUUUUAUAUUUUUGACUUUUUUUUCCUAUUAUGCUUUUUACUGCUGUCUCCGAUUCAUAAAUACCAUCACCAAAAAUUUUUUGUGGCUACUGUUUAUUUUAUAGUUAGCUUUAACCAUAUGGCUGGUCUAUUCUCUUCAGGAAUUCCUAACGGGUAUGGCUUUCUUUCCCCCAGCUGUUUGCUUUUAUAGACUUAGAGCAAAAAAAAUUAGCAAAAAAUAAUGAGAGAUCUAGCCAGUCAUUUUCUAUCAGAUGCAUUGCUAUAGAAGUGAAUUCAUUAAGACUGAAAAAUAUUGAACACAUAUAAUUUGUCUCUUAUGUCAGUUUUUCUGGGACCCAGAUUAAAUAGGAGCAUUUCAGUGUUAUCAUAGAAGUGACAGUGACUUGAAUGCAUACACACACACACACACACACACACACACACACAGUCAAUUCAGAGGAGGAUAGAUGAAAAUUUGGAAUUGUUUAAAAAAAAUACUUGCAAAUCGUGCUGCUACUUAAAUAUUUAAGGAAUUCAAACAGUUAUGUAGUUAUCGUAAAGUGUUCCUUGUCAUUUGUUCUACUGGAAUUGACCAUGAAAAAGAAUAUUAAGCCUUAUUUAUAUCCAAUUAUUGACUGUGCAAACUGUGACUCAAUGGAUAUUCGUAUGCCAAAAAAAAAAAGUUUUUAAAGUUGAGAAAGUUUUAGACUUAAUAAAGAUGUAUAAAUAAUUUUGAUUAGUAUUCUCACUAUAAUGAAGCUACUGUUAAUUUGGUGCAAUACAUUCUUCCCUUUCUCAUCCUUUUAAAAUUAAAUAUAUAAGAUGUAUGUUUUGUUUUGUUACUUUGAAUUUUGUUUAAAAAUUUUUCAGUGUGUGUAUAUGAACUAAUGUUUGAUUUGUUUCUGUAUAGCAUGAAUGAAGAUAAUAAUUGAAAAAUUUGCACAUUUUUUAGUCCUUUGGAAAUUUGUAUUCUAACAGUUUUUAAGAAUAUGCAUUUAUUUUGUACAUAAUAAAUUUAGCUUUGUAUAGGAAAAUGGGUUUGAAUCAAAUAAAAAAUGAUGUUUUCUUC